rnacentral:rRNA from 1 species
AGGAAGUAAAAGUCGUAACAAGGUCUCCGUUGGUGAACCAGCGGAGGGAUCAUUACUGAGUUUACGCUCUACAACCCUUUGUGAACAUACCUACAACUGUUGCUUCGGCGGGUAGGGUCUCCGCGACCCUCCCGGCCUCCCGCCUCCGGGCGGGUCGGCGCCCGCCGGAGGAUAACCAAACUCUGAUUUAACGACGUUUCUUCUGAGUGGUACAAGCAAAUAAUCAAAACUUUUAACAACGGAUCUCUUGGUUCUGGCAUCGAUGAAGAACGCAGCGAAAUGCGAUAAGUAAUGUGAAUUGCAGAAUUCAGUGAAUCAUCGAAUCUUUGAACGCACAUUGCGCCCGCCAGCAUUCUGGCGGGCAUGCCUGUUCGAGCGUCAUUUCAACCCUCAAGCUCUGCUUGGUGUUGGGGCCCUACAGCCGAUGUAGGCCCUCAAAGGUAGUGGCGGACCCUCCCGGAGCCUCCUUUGCGUAGUAACUUUACGUCUCGCACUGGGAUCCGGAGGGACUCUUGCCGUAAAACCCCCCAAUUUUCCAAAGGUUGACCUCGGAUCAGGUAGGAAUACCCGCUGAACUUAAGCAUAUCAAUAAGCGGAGG